AGAGUUUGAUCCUGGCUCAGAGCGAACGCUGGCGGCAGGCUUAACGCAUGCAAGUCGAGCGGGUGUAGCAAUACAUCAGCGGCAGACGGGUGAGUAACGCGUGGGAACGUACCUUUUGGUUCGGAACAACCCAGGGAAACUUGGGCUAAUACCGGAUAAGCCCUUACGGGGAAAGAUUUAUCGCCGAGAGAUCGGCCCGCGUCUGAUUAGCUAGUUGGUGAGGUAAUGGCUCACCAAGGCGACGAUCAGUAGCUGGUCUGAGAGGAUGAUCAGCCACAUUGGGACUGAGACACGGCCCAGACUCCUACGGGAGGCAGCAGUGGGGAAUAUUGGACAAUGGGCGCAAGCCUGAUCCAGCCAUGCCGCGUGAGUGAUGAAGGCCCUAGGGUUGUAAAGCUCUUUUGUGCGGGAAGAUAAUGACGGUACCGCAAGAAUAAGCCCCGGCUAACUUCGUGCCAGCAGCCGCGGUAAUACGAAGGGGGCUAGCGUUGCUCGGAAUCACUGGGCGUAAAGGGUGCGUAGGCGGGUCUUUAAGUCAGGGGUGAAAUCCUGGAGCUCAACUCCAGAACUGCCUUUGAUACUGAAGAUCUUGAGUUCGGGAGAGGUGAGUGGAACUGCGAGUGUAGAGGUGAAAUUCGUAGAUAUUCGCAAGAACACCAGUGGCGAAGGCGGCUCACUGGCCCGAUACUGACGCUGAGGCACGAAAG
rnacentral:rRNA from 1 species